rnacentral:SRP_RNA from 1 species
CCGUGCUAGACGGGGAGGUAGCGGUGCCCUGUACCCGCAAUCCGCUCUAGCGGGGUUGAAUCCCUUCCAGAGGCUGUUCAUUUGUUUGGUCUGCCUCAUGUAAGUGGUGUUGACGUUUGGGUCCUGCGCAAUGGAAAUCCAUGAACCAUGUCAGGUCCGGAAGGAAGCAGCAUUAAGUGGACGCUUCCAUGUGCCGUAGGGCAGCCUGAACUGAGCUAACUGCAUGAGUAACGCUUAUGGGUGGCAGUCGAAGGAAGGUGCACGG